rnacentral:rRNA from 1 species
UACGAAGGGGGCUAGCGUUGCUCGGAAUCACUGGGCGUAAAGGGUGCGUAGGCGGGUCUUUACGUCAGGGGUGAAAUCCUGGAGCUCAACUCCAGAACUGCCUUUGAUACUGAAGAUCUCGAGUUCGGGAGAGGUGAGUGGAACUGCGAGUGUAGAGGUGAAAUUCGUAGAUAUUCGCAAGAACACCAGUGGCGAAGGCGGCUCACUGGCCCGAUACUGACGCUGAGGCACGAAAGCGUGGGGAGCAAACAGG